CACGUAGGGGGCAAGCGUUGUCCGGAUUUAUUGGGCGUAAAGAGCUCGUAGGUGGUUCGGUAAGUCAGGUGUGAAACCUCCAGGCUCAACCUGGAGACGCCACUUGAUACUGCUGUGACUGGAGUCCGGUAGGGGAGCGUGGAAUUCCUGGUGUAGCGGUGAAAUGCGCAGAUAUCAGGAAGGACACCCGUGGCGAAGGCGGCUCGCUGGGCCAUUCCUGACGCUGAGACGCGAAAGCUAGGGGAGCGAACAGG
rnacentral:rRNA from 1 species